CGAAAGCCUGAUCUAGCCAUNCCGCGUGUGUGAUGAAGGCCUUAGGGUCGUAAAGCACUUUCGCCAGGGAUGAUAAUGACAGUACCUGGUAAAGAAACCCCGGCUAACUCCGUGCCAGCAGCCGCGGUAAUACGGAGGGGGUUAGCGUUGUUCGGAAUUACUGGGCGUAAAGCGCACGUAGGCGGAUCAGAAAGUUGGGGGUGAAAUCCCAGGGCUCAACCCUGGAACUGCCCUCAAAACUCCUGGUCUUGAGUUCGAGAGAGGUGAGUGGAAUUCCAAGUGUAGAGGUGAAAUUCGUAGAUAUUUGGAGGAACACCAGUGGCGAAGGCGGCUCACUGGCUCGAUACUGACGCUGAGGUGCGAAAGUGUGGGGAGCAAACAGGAUUAGAUACCCUGGUAGUCCACACCGUAAACGAUGAAUGCCAGACGUCGGGCAGUAUACUGUUCGGUGUCACACCUAACGGAUUAAGCAUUCCGCCUGGGG
rnacentral:rRNA from 1 species